rnacentral:rRNA from 1 species
UGGGGAAUCUUGCACAAUGGGGGAAACCCUGAUGCAGCGACGCCGCGUGAGCGAUGAAGGUUUUCGAAUCGUAAAGCUCUGUCCUAUGGGAAGAUAAUGACGGUACCAUAGGAGGAAGCCCCGGCUAACUUAGUGCCAGCAGCAGCGGUAAUACGUAGGGGGCGAGCGUUGUCCGGAAUUACUGGGCGUAAAGGGUGCGCAGGCGGCAUGACAAGUCCGAUGUAAAAGGCGAAAGAUCAACUUUCGUAAGCAUCUGAAACUGUCAAGCUUGAGUGAAUGAGAGGAAAGUGGAAUUCCUAGUGUAGCAGUGGAAUGCGUAGAUAUUAGGAGGAAUACCGGUGGCGAAGGCGACUUGCUGGAAUUCAACUGACGCUGAGGAACGAAAGCGUGGGUAGCAAACAGG